rnacentral:misc_RNA from 1 species
AAUCAACUCAGGCCACUGCUUCUGUGGCAGCUCAAUGCCAGCAACCUUGGCAAUGACUUGUGAAGCAGUUGAUCGAGCAUCAAGUGCUUGAGAAGAGAGGGUUUGUAACAAGCAUGCUUUAAUCUGGGUCUUCACAGCCACAUCAAGUGACAGCCAUCUUUGGACGAGUUCAUAUUUCCUGUGUUGUUCCUUGGCAUCCAAAGCAUUUUUUAGUAUUAGACCUGCCAACUUACGACUAUCCACUGGCUUGUCCUCACUAGCCAACUCUCCUGACAGAGACAAUAGGAAACCAGGAAGAUUUUGCUCCUG